rnacentral:lncRNA from 1 species
AAGGGAACUAUGUAACCUAUGACCGGGAUGGAAAUGUUGAUAAGUAUUACAUAGAGUUUCUGGGCCACCCCCGCUCAACAGCAUGGAUAAGCGCAGCGUUCGUUGGACAUUUUAGCCUCACGUUAAAGACGGCAGAAUGUAAGAAUAAGAAGAGGUGGUAUAGAAGUGCCCUCGAGGAAGCGUACCGACUCUACAGGUGUUCACCAGAGCAAAGACUAGCAGUGUGCUGCCGACCAACGCGGGACAGAACCAGAAGAGGCACAGAAGCUCCUGUGGUGACCAAGGAAAGGAUUCAAGGUUCUAAAAAUAAUACUGAAAAGAAAAGGCCCAGGGUUAGAAAGAGGAAAAGGGAUGCUGCUUUAAAGUACUCUGUUGACAUUUUUUGUUCCGAUGAAGCCCUGUCAAAGGAAAACAUGGUUGUCUCAGUGCAGCCUGGAAGCUCCGACAGGCAGUCCAUUUGAGAGUUGCCAUGAAGAGGACUGUAUUGUGUCUGACUGGACAGGACUUAAAGCUGGGGAAUGUAUUGAGACUGUAACUAACGGUUUAAAAAUGAUAGAAGCCCUAAUAUCUGAAUUUUAGGGU